CUUUUGUUCUAACUGACACUGGACGUCCUUGUGCAUUGCAGUAAGCCAUCCAGCGUCAGUUAAUUCCCCGUAGUAGAGCAUUGCACCAAUGCUUUCCUGUGGGUUCCCCGUAGUAGAGCAUUGCACCAAUGCUUUCUUGUGGGGUCCAAAUGCGGUCGCCGUACAUGCGCACCCCCCGUGGGUGAUGUCAGUAGUCACAUUCACCAUUCAAACGCCAAACUGCUUGCAUUGACACCAAAUACUAAAAGGAAGCGUGUGGGGUGUUGCAUUGAGGAAACUGGCCUAGG